rnacentral:rRNA from 1 species
CACGUAGUUAGCCGGUGCUUCUUAUCUACCUACCGUCACCACAAAGUGGCUUCGUCGAUAGCGAAAGGAGUUUACAACCCGAAGGCCUUCAUCCCCCACGCGGCGUCGCUGCAUCAGGCUUGCGCCCAUUGUGCAAUAUUCCCCACUGCUGCCUCCCAUAGGAGUCUGGGCCGUAUCUCAGUCCCAAUGUGUCCGUACACCCUCUCAGGCCGGAUACCCGUCGCCGCCUUGGUAGGCCAUUACCCCACCAACAAGCUGAUAGGCCGCAGGCUCACCCCCACACCGCAAAAGCUUUCCACCACACCAUCCAAGAUGCGGUCCUAUAUGGUAUUAGACCCAGUUUCCCAGGCUUAUCCCACAGUGCAGGGCAGAUCACCCACGUGUUACUCACCCGUUCGCCACUCGACGUACCUUGUGCAAGCACAAGGCCUUUCCGUUCGACUUGCUAGUCGUGUUAAGCACGCCGCAGGCUUCAUCCUGACGCCAGGACUACGAAACUCUCUAC